GACCAGUACAGCCAAGAAGACCAGUGAAGCCAGGAAGACCAGUGAAGCCAAGAAGACCAGUGAAGCCAGGAAGACCAGUGAAGCCAAGAAGAAGAAAAGAGCAUCAAAGCGCAAAAACUGAACACCCAGUCCCGAUGAGGCGAGCCUUCUCUGACGCAACAGAGGAGCAACUGACACCCCAGAUGUUUCCCAUCCACGCAGGCACUUCCCAUCCACUCAGAUGCGCUUGACAACUCCUUUUCCUCUUCCAAAGCAUCGACGACCUUCACAUUUCCUCAGAGCUCUCCCAGGAGGAGUGCUUGGACCUUGCGUGGUAUCUUGUGUUGGCAAUAAAAUAGUGCCAAGAGCUCGUGGGUGGUCUGCAGACCUGUGCCGCGCUGCUGCCACCGUUAUGACCUUAGACAGCUGUGGAGAAGUGUGUCUGGACUGAUAUACCUCGACCCCACUCUGCUGUCCAGGCCUCAGCACCAUCUGCUUCCAGAGCAUGCAGCCUUGCAAAGAGCUUUCCAUGGGGGGUGUAACCCUUUUUGAGCUCCAUAAAGUUCAGCAAAAUGAAUUUGCCCUGAGCCAGGAAAUGUACGGGAACUUCUUGCCACCCUCUGAAGACAGUGCAAGCCACAGCAGGGGGUCUUUUGUUUGUGUGUGUUUUUUGCAUCUUUUAGGGACAAGUGCUGGGUGGGGCCUUCCUGGUCUUCAGUCACUUGCUGCUUACUAGGCCAUAGCCCGCCCCAACCAUGACAGAGCAGGCCAGGCUCAAGGCUUUGCUGUACCUCCUGUCAGACUUUGUGUCUUGCAUUCUGUCCCAACUUAAAUUAAACCCUUGUCCACAGUUCUCGUGGCAGCAGAAGUUCCUGGCAGAGGGAGCCAGCCUAGAUGUCAGGAGGAGGUGACACCAGAUAGGCAUGCUCUGUCGACGGCUGCACCACUGAGAAUUGCCCACAUGGUGUUGCCUGAUGCACAAGGAAAGUUAGAUGGCAUCCAAGCCUGCCUCCUACAGAACUAAGAACCACGCUAGAAAUGACACUGUAGCAUCCCUGGGAACUGCAGGACUUUUGCGUGCUGCACCCUAGACAGAGCUGUCCUUACCCUGAAACAGAGCUGCAUGCUCCUCUCCUUUAGCAAGCAAGCCAUGAAGCAGCCACCCCUGUGGAUAGUGACGGCCUGGUGCCGACCACUGGCUUCUGCUCAUUUGCUUCCCUCAAUAAACCCUGUUUAGUCUCA